rnacentral:rRNA from 1 species
CUCGUAGGCGGCUCAGCAAGUCGGCCGUGAAAGCCCGGGGCUCAACCCCGGGACGCCGGUCGAAACUGCUGUGGCUAGGGUCCGGUAGAGGAGAGUGGAAUUCCCGGUGUAGCGGUGAAAUGCGCAGAUAUCGGGAGGAACACCAGUAGCGAAGGCGGCUCUCUGGGCCGGUACCGACGCUGAGGAGCGAAAGCUAGGGGAGCAAACA